rnacentral:rRNA from 1 species
GCACAAGCGGCGGAGCAUGCGGAUUAAUUCGAUGCAACGCGAAAACCUUACCUACCCUUGACAUGUCCGGAAUCCCGAAGAGAUUUGGGAGUGCUCGCAAGAGAACCGGAACACAGGUGCUGCAUGGCUGUCGUCAGCUCGUGUCGUGAGAUGUUGGGUUAAGUCCCGCAACGAGCGCAACCCUUGUCAUUAGUUGCCAUCAUUUGGUUGGGCACUCUAAUGAGACUGCCGGUGACAAACCGGAGGAAGGUGGGGAUGACGUCAAGUCCUCAUGGCCCUUAUGGGUAGGGCUUCACACGUCAUACAAUGGUCGGUACAGAGGGUUGCCAACCCGCGAGGGGGAGCUAAUCCCACAAAGCCGAUCGUAGUCCGGAUCGCAGUCUGCAACUCGACUGCGUGAAGUCGGAAUCGCUAGUAAUCGUGGAUCAGCAUGUCACGGUGAAUACGUUCCCGGGUCUU